rnacentral:rRNA from 1 species
GACGAACGCUGGCGGCGUGCCUAAUACAUGCAAGUCGAGCGAAGUUUUUCUGGUGCUUGCACUAGAAAAACUUAGCGGCGAACGGGUGAGUAACACGUAAAGAACCUGCCUCAUAGACUGGGACAACUAUUGGAAACGAUAGCUAAUACCGGAUAACAGUAUUUCUCGCAUGAGAGAUAUUUAAAAGUUGGUUAUGCUAACACUAUGAGAUGGCUUUGCGGUGCAUUAGCUAGUUGGUGGGGUAAAGGCCCACCAAGGCGACGAUGCAUAGCCGACCUGAGAGGGUGAUCGGCCACACUGGGACUGAGACACGGCCCAGACUCCUACGGGAGGCAGCAGUAGGGAAUCUUCCGCAAUGGGCGAAAGCCUGACGGAGCAACGCCGCGUGAGUGAAGAAGGAUUUCGGUUCGUAAAGCUCUGUUGUUAGGGAAGAAUGGAUAUGUAGUAACUAUACAUAUA